rnacentral:rRNA from 1 species
GAUGAACGCUGGCGGCGUGCCUAAUACAUGCAAGUCGAGCGAACAGAUAAGGAUCUUGCUCCUUUGACGUUAGCGGCGGACGGGUGAGUUACACGUGGAUAACCUACCUAUAAGACUGGGAUAACUUCGAGAAACCGGAGCUAAUACCGGAUAACAUAUUGAACCGCAUGGUUCAAUAGUGAAUGGCGGCUUUGCUGUCACUUAUAGAUGGAUCCGCGCCGUAUUAGCUAGUUGGUAAGGUAACGGCUUACCAAGGCAACGAUACGUAGCCGACCUGAGAGGGUGAUCGGCCACACUGGAACUGAGACACGGUCCAGACUCCUACGGGAGGACGCAGUAGGGAAUCUUCCGAAAUGGGCGAAAGCCUGACGGAGCAACGCCGCGUGAGUGAUGAAGGUCUUCGGAUCGUAAAACUCUGUUAUCAGGGAAGAACAAAUGUGUAAGUAACUGUGCACAUCUUGACGGUACCUGAUCAGAAAGCCACGGCUAACUACGUG